AACCCUAAACCCUAAACCCUAAACCCUAAACCCUAAACCCUAAACCCUAAACCCUAAACCCUAAACCCUAAACCCUAAACCCUAAACCCUAAACCCUAAACCCUAUACUGCAAGCUGAAAAGUAUACUACGACUGGAUAAACAAUUUCAACGACAUCCCUGAUAUACGCUUGCACAAAGAAACAGGCAACCGUUUCGAUUGCAAUGAUUUGCAACCUGAAGGAGGUUUACAAACCAUUUUUAAGGAUGGAUCCCUAUCAACCACGCCAUCUGGAUCAUUGGAACCGAUACUGCCCCCUAUGCGACACCCCGGGUUUUGUUCUGACGACAAACUAGUGAUGAACACUGAGUAUCUUGUGCACGAUUUCAAGACUCUUUGCUCGAAGCUCUCUCGGACCUCGAGGACAGUAUUUGUCGAUCUCGGGGCAUCGCUUGUAUUUCACACUGGCGAACCGCCCACGUUAUCGUUGAUAAAACUUUAUCAAAAGUUCGGCUUCUACUUCGAUCACAUUUAUGCUUAUGAACUGACCCAAGGGAAUGUGACUGAAUUGUACGAUUCACUCCCGGCUGAGUGGCUUUCGUCAUAUCACUGGAUUAACGCUGGGGUUGAACUCGACCCUUCAAGUGCCCUAAAUCCAUUGAGCCUAUUGAUAAAAAGUUUCAGGCCCGAAGACUUUAUUGUGCUCAAAUUAGAUGUGGAUAAUCCUGAAAUCGAACUUUCGUUAGUAAAACAAAUCUUAGAGACCCCCGCACUUCACAGCCUGAUCGACCAGUUCUACUUUGAACAUCAUGUGCGCCUUGAAGAGCUCCGAGGGCCAUGGGGGGCAACAGUACGAGGUUCUGUCUCAGAUUCUUUAUUAUUGUUCCAAAAGUUGAGGAUGAAAGGUAUCCCAGCGCACUUCUGGGUCUAACCUGGAUACCUACUGUUUUCGCACCUGUUGUCUCAAACGCGCGCGUUCAAUGCACUUUCCACUUUCUGGUCAGCAGGGGGUAAAUGUGAAGGAAGAGCAAGUAGCUUCCAUUCGUCACGCGCCACCCCGUGCGUGCUGUGGCACGAAAGUACUUCCAGAAGUACGCUUUGUGACUAGAUGCAGGAAACGUGCAAAACGCUGCGUUCUGAGUGGCUGUAGGCGUCGGAUUUCAUCAAAGAGUUUUUUUUUUUGGAUGGGACCGCGAGAGUGUAUCAAGCAAUAUGCCUCUGAGGGAUGUACCGUUGGGUCGAUACGAUAAGUUCAAAGACACUGCAUUUUUUUAUAGAAUAUGAACGAGGGUUUCGCGACAUGCUAAAAUAUGCCGGUGAGAAUGGAAUGAAGGUGAACAUCCACUCCCACUCCCUCGGAGGUUCCCUCGGUGGUCUUACAAGUAGAAUCCUCGUGGAGAAAUAUCCCAGCAAGAGCAUCAAGACCUUGGAUAUGUUCAACGCACAUCACAGUCCCUUCUGUACUUCAAAAAAUCUACCAGACUACAUUGAAACCCAACUAUCAUACGAUAAUUUAUAGUGACAUUACCGAUAUGAAACACUGGUUUCCCANNNNN
rnacentral:lncRNA from 1 species